AAGAGGCCACUAAGAAAUUAAUCAAGAAUGCCGACUACUACAACUUGCAGCUUACAGAUCACCUUACGGCACCGAAGCACCCACUUCCGGCGGGGCGUUCACCUUGUUGCGCAUCACCGGAAGUAUGCUGGGACGCUACGUCGAGCUGGUGACGAGAUGUAUCUACGUCAUCUGCCUUUUGGCGUCCUGGCUGCAGUCUUGUUCUCAAAGUUCCUACCCAAGACCUUUCGGCGCUCUUUGUGGAGAUGGUGGAAGAGAAAUAUGACCUUUCGUCUUUAGUUCUGAAUACUUCAAAGGUGAUGACUCUUUGGAAAUGCUCCACUCUGCUGUAUAACGUGACGCUCUCAGAAACAUAAAAAUGCCAUAUUUUCUGUCUGGGAGCGGAGCGAAAACAAAAGUAGCGAUGUUGACGAAGACAACGACAACAAAGAACAACAACAGCAGCAACAACAACAGCAACAAAAACAACAAAAACAAUAAUGAUUUGAGAUAAUGAUUAUAUUUAAAAGCAUCUGUAUUUAGAAAAAAACACGCUGGGCACUGAAAAAAAUAAUAUAAAAAACCUGCUUUGUAGUCUGUCUUUUCUUUUUUCACCUGUUCUUCACUUUAAAAUGUCUCAAUGCAUAAAGAUAGUUAUUUAAUAUACAUGUAGAUCUAUUGUGUGCUAAACAAUGUGCCAUACUUAUAUUUGUAUUUCUGUUAUUUAUAAGUUACAUAUUUUUCACACUGAUUUUUAAAAGUCAUUUUUUAAUCUUUUGAACUAAAUCUUAUUUCUAUGACAGCGUUUUCGCUCAUUUCUCAAAUCGAAGAGUUUUUACUUCACUUUUCUUUGAAUAACAUUGUGCUCCCUUCUUCUCACCUACGUUAUAUGAAUAAUUCUAAAUUAUGAAAGUUUAACAGCAUCACCGGUGCGUGUAAUGUGUGCCAUAUGAUAUUAAAAAGAUAUUAAUUAUUCUAA